AUGCUGAGGUAAUCGCUGUAUGCAUGUUCAUACAGAGGAAAGUCCAUGCUCGCACAAGCUGAGAUGCUUGUAGUGUUCGUGCUUGAUGAAACCAUAAGUCAAGGUAGCAUACAUGGCUAACGGCAGGGAAUUGAUCUACGUUCUUGAUGAAUAGGAUCAAAUGACCUUGAAAGUGCCACAGUGACGUAGUUCUACUGGAAACGGUAGAAGUGGAACGAGGUAAACCCCGCGAGCGAGCAACCCAAAAUUAGGUAGGGGCACUUUUCUGAGGGAAUUCAACCAAUAGGAAGAGACAAGAGGUUACUUGUAGAUAGAUGAUUACCACUGGAGUACGAGGUUGACCACCAUUUGCAGUACAAAGGUACAGAACAUGGCUUACCAAG
rnacentral:RNase_P_RNA from 2 species